GGAGGGAUGUCAAGGCCAGAAUGGGAUCCAGAAGGGUGGAGGAUGGGGUUGCCUUAGUAGCAUGAAGGAUUGAUGGGAGGCAAGAAGAGCCGAAAGUUACUUUUUGAAUAAUUUGGCUCAUAUUUGAAUUUAUUUGAUUAGUAGAGCAGUAGAGCAAUGUCUGGCAUCCCUCCUGCUUGGAAGGCAGACUUCCCUUUUCCAGCCAAAUUCAGUAAGGUUCAGGAAUUGUCUGGAAUUUUUGUGGAAUCAUGAGAAAAUUUGAACACAAAUAUCUCCCGUGAACUAACUGAGCAAGAACUCACUUAUCACCAAGGGGAUGGUGCUAAGCCAUUCACGAGGGAUCUGCUCCUGUGGUCCAAACACCUCCCACCAGGCUCCACUUCCAACAUUGGGAAUCACAUUUCAACAUGAGAUUUGGAGUUGACAAACGUCCAAACCAUGUCUCCAACCAACCAUCUAUACAGAUCUUGGAUUCAAGAAGCCUUAUGCCUCUUGGCUAAAAAAAGUUUGAAAAUCCUGACUCGGCCCAUUGGACAGGACUAAGAGAAAGGCAGAGAUUCAUGGCUUUUUACAAUGGUAUUUAUGGUUAUUCCCUCCUCCACCUCAUCCCUAACUUACCAGAACACAAAAUGAUAUGGGAAGAAGAGGAAAGUUGAUAGAAGGGGAGCUCUAGACAGCCAGGAAAGCUGGAGUCACAAGUGGACAAGGAGACCCAUGGAAGCGCCUCAUAAUGGAAAUGGUUCUCCUUUGGUCAUCUACAAACUUUACCCAACAAUGGGACCUCCUGGUAUCAUAUGAAAUAAAACCAGCAGUCUGGUAUUUUGGUCCCAGCUGUUAAAACUUC